rnacentral:rRNA from 1 species
ACGGGAGGCAGCAGUAAGGAAUCUUGCACAAUGGGGGAAACCCUGAUGCAGCAACGCCGCGUGAGUGAUGAAGUAUUUCGGUAUGUAAAACUCUAUCAGCAGGGAAGAUAAUGACGGUACCUGACUAAGAAGCACCGGCUAAAUACGUGCCAGCAGCCGCGGUAAUACGUAUGGUGCAAGCGUUAUCCGGAUUUACUGGGUGUAAAGGGUGCGUAGGUGGCAUUGCAAGUCUGAAGUGAAAGCUCGGGGCUCAACCCCGGAACUGCUUUGGAAACUGUCAAGCUAGAGUGCAGGAGAGGAAAGCGGAAUUCCUAGUGUAGCGGUGAAAUGCGUAGAUAUUAGGAGGAACACCAGUGGCGAAGGCGGCUUUCUGGACUGUAACUGACACUGAGGCACGAAAGCGUGGGGAGCAAACAGGAUUAGAUACCCUGGUA